AGAGUUUGAUUUUGGCUCAGGAUGAACGCUAGCGACAGGCUUAACACAUGCAAGUCGAGGGGCAGCGGGGGAGUAGCAAUACUCCCGCCGGCGACCGGCGCACGGGUGAGUAACACGUAUGAAACCUGCCCGUAGCAGGGGGGGAUAAGCGGAAGAAAUUCCGUCUAAUACCGCGUAACAACCCUUGGAGGCAUCUCCUCGGGUUUAAAGGAAGCGAUUCCGGCUACGGAUGGUCAUGCGUCGCAUUAGCUGGUUGGCGGGGUAACGGCCCACCAAGGCGACGAUGCGUAGGGGUUCUGAGAGGAAGGUCCCCCACACUGGUACUGAGACACGGACCAGACUCCUACGGGAGGCAGCAGUGAGGAAUAUUGGUCAAUGGCCGCAGGGCUAAACCAGCCAAGUCGCGUGAGGGAUGACGGUCCUAUGGAUUGUAAACCUCUUUUGUCAGGGAGCAAAGGGCGCCACGUGUGGCGCUUUGCGAGUACCUGAAGAAAAAGCAUCGGCUAACUCCGUGCCAGCAGCCGCGGUAAUACGGAGGAUGCGAGCGUUAUCCGGAUUUAUUGGGUUUAAAGGGUGCGCAGGCGGAAUGUCAAGUCAGCGGUAAAAUUUCGGGGCUCAACCCCGUCGUGCCGUUGAAACUGGCGUUCUUGAGUGAGCGAGAAGUAUGCGGAAUGCGUGGUGUAGCGGUGAAAUGCAUAGAUAUCACGCAGAACUCCGAUUGCGAAGGCAGCAUACCGGCGCUCAACUGACGCUCAUGCACGAAAGCGAGGGUAUCGAACAGGAUUAGAUACCCUGGUAGUCCACGCAGUAAACGAUG
rnacentral:rRNA from 1 species